GGAGUUGUGGCUCAAUGGUAGAGUGCUCGUCUAGCACGUGUGAGGCCCUGGGUUCGAUCCUCAGCACCA
rnacentral:tRNA from 1 species